rnacentral:rRNA from 1 species
UUCGCAAUGCCCGAAAGGGUGACGAAGCGACGCCGCGUGAGCGAAGAAGGCCCUAGGGUUGUAAAGCUCUGUCGGGGGUUAUGAAGUGCAGGUUGGUUAAUACCCAACUUGUUUGACAAAGGCCCCAAAGGAAGCCACGGCUAACUCUGUGCCAGCAGCCGCGGUAAUACAGAGGUGGCAAGCGUUGUUCGGUAUUAUUGGGCGUAAAGAGCACGUAGGUGGUUUUGUAAGUCAGAUGUGAAAGCCUUCUGUUCAAAGGAAGAACGGCAUCUGAAACUGCAGAUCUUGAGUGUAGGAGGGGAGAGUGGAACUUCUGGUGGAGCGGUGAAAUGCGUAGAUAUCAGAAGGAACGUCGGCGGCGAAAGCGACUCUCUGGCCUAUUACUGACACUGAGUGUGCGAAAGUUAGGGGAGCAAACGGGAUUAGAUACCCCGGUAGUCCUAGCCGUAAACGAUGGGCACUAAGUAGAGGGGUUUU